UACGUAGGCAGCGAGCGUUGUUCGGAGUUACUGGGCGUAAAGGGUGCGUAGGCGGUUGUUUAAGUUUGGUGUGAAAUCUCCCGGCUCAACUGGGAGGGUGCGCCGAAUACUGAAUGACUAGAGUGCGGGAGAGGAUAGUGGAAUUCCUGGUGUAGCGGUGAAAUGCGUAGAUAUCAGGAGGAACACCGGUGGUGUAGACGGCUAUCUGGACCGUAACUGACGCUGAGGCACG
rnacentral:rRNA from 1 species